UGGAAGAGGCAAGAGUGCGCGUAUUUUGUUUGUCGUGUCGCGGUGUGUUUUAUAGUAAUUAUUUAGAAUAUUCAGGAGUUAUAGGAAACAAUUAUUCUUGUUGUGUGUGAGCAGUACUAAAAACCAAAAAGCCGUUCGACGGCUUUUUUGUUCAGAUUUAAAUCUGCAGGUUCCAGGCUGACCGGAAGUACCAUUCCCGGUUGUGUGCUCGGCGCACCGCAUCAUAACUCCAUCGUGGACCGCACUUUUGAACCCACGUGUCGGGUUGGAAUCCCGGCACCAACCAACCUCGUCGGAAGGGAGCUGCUACAAAAUUAUGUAUUAGAGUAAUUAACGAAUAAAUGUUUGAG